rnacentral:rRNA from 1 species
GCUUACAGCCAUACCACCCUGAGCACGCCUGAUCUCGUCCGAUCUCGGAAGCUAAGCAGGGUCGGACCUGGUUAGUACUUGGAUGGGAGACCGCCUGGGAAUACCAGGUGCUGUAAGCU